rnacentral:rRNA from 1 species
AUACAUGGCUAUAGCAUAGUGUUAAUGCAUCGAAUCCCAUUAGAACUCUGUAAUUAAGUGUGCUCAGCCUAGAGUAGUACUGGGAUGGGUGACCGCCCGGGAAGUCCUAGUAUUUUACAUG